GAUUGAACGCUGGCGGCAUGCCUUACACAUGCAAGUCGAACGGUAACAGGUCUUCGGAUGCUGACGAGUGGCGAACGGGUGAGUAAUACAUCGGAACGUGCCUAGUAGUGGGGGAUAACUACUCGAAAGAGUAGCUAAUACCGCAUGAGAUCUACGGAUGAAAGCAGGGGAUCGCAAGACCUUGUGCUACUAGAGCGGCUGAUGGCAGAUUAGGUAGUUGGUGGGAUAAAAGCUUACCAAGCCGACGAUCUGUAGCUGGUCUGAGAGGACGAUCAGCCACACUGGGACUGAGACACGGCCCAGACUCCUACGGGAGGCAGCAGUGGGGAAUUUUGGACAAUGGGCGAAAGCCUGAUCCAGCAAUGCCGCGUGCAGGAUGAAGGCCUUCGGGUUGUAAACUGCUUUUGUACGGAACGAAAAGCUUUGGGUUAAUACCCUGGAGUCAUGACGGUACCGUAAGAAUAAGCACCGGCUAACUAC
rnacentral:rRNA from 1 species